rnacentral:misc_RNA from 1 species
CCGGCUCAUUGGUCUCCGGAG